CAGCUGACGAGUCCCAAAUAGGACGAAACGCGCGUCCUGGAU
rfam:Schistosoma curassoni strain Dakar, Senegal genome assembly, scaffold: SCTD_contig0008500